UCUUUCCAAUGUGAGGGCUU
rnacentral:misc_RNA from 1 species